UCCUCCUUACAGAGGCAGUUUCGUCCGAGUUCCCGGCAUGACCCGCUGGUAACUAGGGGCGGGGGUUGCGCUCGCUGCGGGACUUAACCCAACAUCUCACGACACGAGCUGACGACAGCCAUGCACCACCUGUCACCCAGUCCGAAGAGGCACCUAUCUCUAGGUGUUUCCGGGUGAUGUCAAACCCAGGUAAGGUUCUUCGCGUUGCAUCGAAUUAAUCCGCAUGCUCCGCCGCUUGUGCGGGCCCCCGUCAAUUCCUUUGAGUUUCAGUCUUGCGACCGUACUCCCCAGGCGGCGAACUUAACGCGUUAGCUUCGAUACUGCGUGCCAAAUUGCACCCAACAUCCAGUUCGCAUCGUUUAGGGCGUGGACUAC
rnacentral:misc_RNA from 1 species